AUGCAUUCGCACGAGCAGAUGUCCUACAACCAUGGAUACAGCUACCAGGAUCCGCGGGAUCAAUCGGACAACGGUGGCAUACCUGGCGUUGCUGGAAAAGAUUAUCCGAUCUUCCAUGAAGCUCCGCAGACGCGGUUCAAUUGCGGACAGCAGCAAUAUCCGAGCUAUUAUGCCGACCCUGAAGCCGACUGCCGGGUAUUCUACAUUUGCCAGCACGAUGGUCGUAAGGACUCGUUCCUCUGCCCGAAUGGCACAUUAUUCAAUCCGAAGAGAUUGGUUUGUGCAUGGUGGAACACCGUGGAUUGCUCUCGCGCGCAAAGUUUCUACUCCAUUAACGAGGCGGUUGCAAAAGCAAUGGGGGAAGCUGAUAGGACAAUUCAAGCAGCUGCUAACGGAAAGCUCUCUCGAGAAUACCAGCAUGAAUCCAAUAUUGAAAAUGCAUCCUGGAAUAGGUAUAAUCAACAGGAAGAACAACGUGAAUGGAAUAAAGAUAGUGUUGCAGAGCAUUACAAUCAGCACUUAGAUUUUACGACGAAAGUCCCGUAUGAAACACCUGUGUAACAUAUCAGCUCGUCCUGUUUAUGGUGUUCCUGAAUUUUUCGUUAAAUCCUUCACGAAGGUGGACAACCGUAAUCGUAAUUCCUAUUUGCCAGAAAUGGAUUUCAGGAUUACAAGUGCUGAAUUUAAUAAAUAAACAAUGAGGAAUGAUUUUGCAGGACCAGCGUACGUUUACUUGCAUGUGUGA